UACGUAGGGUGCAAGCGUUAAUCGGAAUUACUGGGCGUAAAGCGUGCGCAGGCGGUUGUGCAAGACAGAUGUGAAAUCCCCGGGCUUAACCUGGGAACUGCAUUUGUGACUGUACGGCUAGAGUGCGGCAGAGGGGGAUGGAAUUCCGCGUGUAGCAGUGAAAUGCGUAGAUAUGCGGAGGAACACCGAUGGCGAAGGCAAUCCCCCUGGGCCUGCACUGACGCUCAUGCACGAAAGCGUGGGGAGCAAACAGG
rnacentral:rRNA from 1 species